UGUUUGCAGUGGACAGGAAAUGUGAACACGUCACACAACUGCUGUGGUCAAAGCUACAGGAGCUGUUUGAGGUUGGUGUAAAAGGAAGGAAGCACAGAGAGGUGAUAGAAGGAGGAGCUGAAUAUAAACUCUGGUCUUAUCUACAUUAAGUGCAGCUUCUCUUUGUUCUGCAUUUAUUAUCAAUGCAAAGUCGAACACUUUGAGAUUAGAUGCAGAUCAGCGUGCAGGGCUGGACGUGAGGAUGGGGCACUCUUUGCUCUGUUUGCUGGGGUUAUUCUUGCUCAGUACAGUCAUCCAUGGAAACACUGAAGAACUUUGGGUGAAGGCCACUCUGACAGCAGACAGAUUAACCAUACCAGCAGGGGGCAGU